AAGGACGUUAUGUUAAAAAAUCUGAAACUAGAGCUCAAAAUUUAAAAAAAAAAUUGUUAAAAACAGGGGGGUUGGUCUAUUCCAUGGCUUCUGGAGAAAAAUAAUGAGGGGUGUCACGGGGUAUGACUAUAUAGGUCUUGUAGAGGAGAAACAGGCGCAUCUUUUGCGCAAGGUAUCGAAGGGCGCUAUGUUCAAAAAUCUAAAACUAGAGCUCAAAAUUUGAAAAAAAAGUGUUAAAAACAGGGGGAUUGGCCUAUUUCAUGGCUUCUAGUGAAAAAUAAUGAGGGGUGUCACAGGGUAUGACUAUAUAGGUCUUGUAGAGGGGAAACAGGCGCAUCUUUUGUACAAGGUAUCGAAGGGCGCUAUGUUCAAAAAUCUGAAACUAGAGCUCAAAAUUUGAAAAAAAAUUGUUAAAAACAGAGGAGUUGGCCUAUUCCAUGGCUUCUAGUGAAAAAUAAUGAGGAGUGUCACAGGGUAUGACUAUAUAAGUCUUGUAUAGGAGAAACAGUCCCAUCUUUUGUACAAGGUAUCGAAGGGCGCUAUGUUCAAAAAUCUGAAACUUGAGCUCAAAAUUUAAAAAAAAAGUGUUAAAAA